rnacentral:rRNA from 1 species
GACGAACGCUGGCGGCGUGCUUAACACAUGCAAGUCGAACGGAAAGGCCCUGCUUGCAGGGUACUCGAGUGGCGAACGGGUGAGUAACACGUGGGUGAUCUGCCCUGCACUUCGGGAUAA